GACGAACGCUGGCGGCGUGCUUAACACAUGCAAGUCGAACGGUGAAGGGGUGUGUUUUUGUGGGCCCUGGGUGAGUGGCGAACGGGUGAGUAACACGUGAGCAACCCGCCCCCUUCUUAUGGCUAACCGCAUGAAAGUGUGGCUAAUACGGGGUACUCUGGGUCUGUCGCAUGGUGGGUCUGGGUAAGAUUGCGGCUUUGGGAGUUUUUGGUGGGGGGUGGGUUGGUGGGCUAUUAGCUUGCUGGUGAGGUGAUGGGUUACCAAGGCGGUGAGUAGUACGCGGUCUGAGGGUGGCGGGGCUGACAGGGGGACCGAGAAACGGGCCACACACCUACGGGAGGCAGCAGUGGGGAAGAUAGCAGUGGGGGAGCAAGCAUGAUGGGGCGACGCCGGGUGAAGGAUGGAGGCGUGCGGGUUGUAAACCUCUGUCGCCAGUGAAGCAGGCGUGCGCGUUGUGGGUGGGGUGACGGUAGCGGGAUAAGAAGCACCGGCUAACUACGUG
rnacentral:rRNA from 1 species